GACGAACGCUGGCGGCGUGCUUAACACAUGCAAGUCGAACGCUGAAGCUCAGCUUUUGUUGGGUGGAUGAGUGGCGAACGGGUGGGUAACACGUGAGUAACCUGCCUCCUUCUUUGGGAUAACGCCCGGAAACGGGUGCUAAUACUGGAUAUUCACUGGUCUUCGCAUGGGGGUUGGUGGAAAGGGUUUUUCUGGUGGGGGAUGGGCUCGCGGCCUAUCAGCUUGUUGGUGGGGUGAUGGCCUACCAAGGCUUUGACGGGUAGCCGGCCUGAGAGGGUGACCGGUCACAUUGGGACUGAGAUACGGCCCAGACUCCUACGGGAGGCAGCAGUGGGGAAUAUUGCACAAUGGGCGCAAGCCUGAUGCAGCGACGCCGCGUGAGGGAUGGAGGCCUUCGGGUUGUGAACCUCUUUCGCUCAUGGUCAAGCCGCAACAAUGGUUGUGGUGAGGGUAGUGGGUAAAGAAGCGCCGGCUAACUACGUG
rnacentral:rRNA from 1 species